rnacentral:rRNA from 1 species
UACGUAGGGUGCGAGCGUUAAUCGGAAUUACUGGGCGUAAAGCGUGCGCAGGCGGCUUUGCAAGACAGAUGUGAAAUCCCCGGGCUCAACCUGGGAACUGCAUUUGUGACUGCAUGGCUAGAGUGCGGCAGAGGGGGAUGGAAUUCCGCGUGUAGCAGUGAAAUGCGUAGAUAUGCGGAGGAACACCGAUGGCGAAGGCAAUCCCCUGGGCCAAUACUGACGCUCAUGCACGAAAGCGUGGGGGAGCAAACAGG